rnacentral:rRNA from 1 species
AUGAACUUGUUGGACACGAACGCGGUUGACAUUGAUCAAGCCCCUUUCGAACCAUUCAAGUACAAUGAAACAGAGGCCGGCGUGGAUGAUCAUGGUUGUGCGGACGAAUUGGAGGAGAUCGAAGCGGAAGCGUUUGAGCAAUCGCAAGCAAAAAAUGGGAAAUGCAUAAGAUCAAAGAACUACACGAUCUUGGAAGAUCAAGCUUUGAUUCAAGCAUGGAGUGCGGUGUCUCUUGAUGCAUGCACGGGUACAUCUCAAACUUCCAAGAGAUAUUGGCAAAGGAUCGAAGAUCAAUACUUCCGUAUUAUGGCAAAGUAUCCCAAUAGGACUCCACGCACAUUUCGGUCGCUUCAAGGGCGUUGGGAGAACAUCAAGCCUAUGUGCAGCCGUUGGGCAGCUUGCUUGGAGUAA